UGAAUACGAGACGCUAAGGCGUCGAAGUAGUGUAUGUCAUACUUCCAAGAAAAAGCUUGCUCUGUCAUAGAUAAAAAACGCCUGUACCAUAACCGACACAGGUGGGUAGGUAGAGUAUACUAAGGGGCGCGAGAUAACUCUCUCUAAGGAACUCGGCAAAAUAACUCCGUAACUUCGGGAGAAGGAGUGCCUUAUUCUUAAGGUUGCAAUAACAAGAUCCAAGCAACUGUUUAUCAAAAACACAGGUCUCCGCUAAGUCGUAAGACGAUGUAUGGGGGCUGACGCCUGCCCAGUGCCAGAAGGUUAAAGAAGCUGGUUAGCAUUUGCGAAGCUAGUAACUGAAGCCCUGGUGAACGGCGGCCGUAACGAUAACGGUCCUAAGCAUCGAAAUUCCUUGUCGGGUAAGUUCCGACCCGCACGAAAGGCGUAAUGAUUUGGAUACUGUCUCGGAGAGGGGCUCGGUGAAAUAGACUUGUCUGUGAAGAUGCGGACUACCUGCACCAGGACAGAAAGACCCUAUGAAGCUUUACUGUAACUUGAAAUUGAAAUUGGACUUUAUUCGCGCAGUAUAGGUGGGAGGCGUUGAUUAUAAUCUUGCGGGAUUAUUGGAGCCAUUAGUGAGAUACCACUCUUGUAAUGUUAGAUUUCUAACUUUGAAUCAUUAUCUGGUCAAAGAACAGUUUCAGGCGGGCAGUUUGACUGGGGCGGUCGCCUCCCAAACGGUAACGGAGGCGUACAAAGGUUUCCUCUGAACGGUUAGAAAUCGUAUCUAGAGUGUAAAGGCAUAAGGAAGCUUGACUGUGAGACCUACAAGUCGAGCAGGGAAAAGUCGGUCUUGAUCUGACGGUACUGAGUGGAAAGGCCGUCACUCAACGGAUAAAAGUUACUCUAAGGAUAACAGGCUGAUCUCCCCCAAGAGUUCACAUCGACGGGGAGGUUUGGCACCUCGAUGUCGGCUCAUCGCAUCCUGGGGCGGUAGUACGUCCCAAGGGUUGGGCUGUUCGCCCAUGAAAGCGGUACGCGAGCUGGGUUCAGAACGUCGUGAGACAGUUCGGUCCAUAUCCGGUGUAGGCGUUAGAAUAUUGAGAGGAGCCUUCUUUAGUACGAGAGGACCGAGAAGGACAUACCUCUGGUGUACCAGUUAUCGUGCCAACGGUAGACGCUGGGUAGCUAUGUAUGGAGUGGAUAACCGCUGAAAGCAUCUAAGUGGGAAGCCCACCUCAAGAUAAGUAUUCUCAUU
rnacentral:rRNA from 1 species